rnacentral:rRNA from 1 species
AUUGAACGCUGGCGGCAUGCCUUACACAUGCAAGUCGAACGGUAACGCGGGGCAACCUGGCGACGAGUGGCGAACGGGUGAGUAAUGUAUCGGAACGUGCCCAGUUGUGGGGGAUAACUGCUCGAAAGAGCAGCUAAUACCGCAUACGACCUGAGGGUGAAAGCGGGGGAUCGCAAGACCUCGCGCAAUUGGAGCGGCCGAUAUCAGAUUAGGUAGUUGGUGGGGUAAAGGCUCACCAAGCCAACGAUCUGUAGCUGGUCUGAGAGGACGACCAGCCACACUGGGACUGAGACACGGCCCAGACUCCUACGGGAGGCAGCAGUGGGGAAUUUUGGACAAUGGACGCAAGUCUGAUCCGGCCAUGCCGCGUGCGGGAAGAAGGCCUUCGGGUUGUAAACCGCUUUUGUCAGGGAAGAAACGCUCUGGGUUAAUACCUCGGGGUAAUGACGGUACCUGAAGAAUAAGCCCCGGCUAACUUCGUGCCAGCAGCCGCGGUAACAC